rnacentral:rRNA from 1 species
GUGAGGAAUUUUCCACAAUGGGCGAAAGCCUGACGGAGCAAUGCCGCGUGAAGGAUGAAGGCCUAUGGGUUGUAAACUUCUUUUCUCAGAAAAGAAUUAUGACGGUAUCUGAGGAAUAAGCAUCGGCUAACUCUGUGCCAGCAGCCGCGGUAAGACAGAGGAUGCAAGCGUUAUCCGGAAUGAUUGGGCGUAAAGCGUCUGUAGGUUGUUUAAAAAGUAUUCUGUCAAAGAUUAGGGCUUAACCCUAGAUAGGCAGAAUAAACUUUUAAGCUAGAGUUUGGUAGAGGCAGAGGGAAUUCCCGGUGGAGCGGUGAAAUGCGUAGAUAUCGGGAGGAACACCAAAGGCGAAGGCACUCUGCUGGGCCAAUACUAACACUGAGAGACGAAAGCGAGGGGAGCAAAUGGGAUUAGAUACCCGAGUAGUCC